rnacentral:siRNA from 1 species
CCCUGUCUACUAUCCAGCGAA